GUGGCAGGAGUGGAAAAAAAGAACGGCCGAGUGAGAAAACAACACGUGAAGAAAGUGCGCGAGUCCGGUGUAAAGACUUUUCAUCCGAAUCGGGACAAAGUCCAGGAAGACGUAUUGACCAUUCGGGGCGACGAACUUCCGCCGUAUCUGAACCGGGAUUUCGUUUUGGAAAACGAGUGUGGCGUCGCGAUUCCCGAUAACAUCCGGACAGCGAGAGGAAGGAUCCGAGAAAGCGAGGUUAAGUUCAGGAAGACGGAACGACGAGUGAAGGACAGAGAGUCAGAGUCCAGUCCAGGAAUCGGGAAAAAACCGCGCACACACGCACAAGCGACCUCGUAAGCAACGUAAAACCACAGAGCACUCCAGUCGGAAGGCCAUCCGUUAUCUGUGCUUGCGCCAUCAGCACAACAGGCGUUUUAUCAACGAGUGCCACGACAUUUUUUUUGCCAGGAAUUUACCACUAGGUGGCAUUCUUCCCUAAGCACCAGCCACGGCAAGCGAGACGCGACAAGGUCGCAGGUGGCAAGACAGUGUCCGGGAGAGGCACUAGUAGCACGACAGUUGCGCCAAGAUCGAGCGUGGUGACCGGCACCACCGGUUACGCUCGACGAGAGAUGCGACAGGAUCGCGGGAGGCAAAAUAUUGUCCGGGAAAGGCGCUAGCAGCACGACAGGUGCGCCAAGAUCGAGCGUGGUAACCGGCAGCUCGGCGAGAGACGCGGCAGAGUCGCGUGAGGCGAGACAGUGGCCGGAAGAAGCGCUAGCAGUACGACAGGUGUUCCAAGAUCAAGUGCUGCGACCGACAGCACCAGCUACUCUCAGGUGAGAGGCGACGAAGCGUCCAAAAGAGGCGCCAUCAGUAACAAGACGCGCUCUGAGAUCGAGUGUGGUGGCCGGCAGCACCGGUUACAAGCGCUUAGCUCAGCCAUUUCGGUUGCGCUCCAUCGAGGCGUGACAGGGUCGCGUGUAGCGGCCUCCGCUUCCUACGGAAAAGCAGCGUUAGUGGAAGACUCAAACGGCCGCGCAAGCAUGAGGCGACACUGUGAGAUGCACGAUCCACGUGUAAUAUUCAACUUGCACUGAUAAUUCCGCUAUA